GACGAACGCUGGCGGCGUGCCUAAUACAUGCAAGUUGAGCGCUGAAGGUUGGUACUUGUACCAACUGGAUGAGCAGCGAACGGGUGAGUAACGCGUGGGGAAUCUGCCUUUGAGCGGGGGACAACAUUUGGAAACGAAUGCUAAUACCGCAUAAAAACUUUAAACACAAGUUUUAAGUUUGAAAGAUGCAAUUGCAUCACUCAAAGAUGAUCCCGCGUUGUAUUAGCUAGUUGGUGAGGUAAAGGCUCACCAAGGCGAUGAUACAUAGCCGACCUGAGAGGGUGAUCGGCCACAUUGGGACUGAGACACGGCCCAAACGCCUACGGGAGGAAGCAGUAGGGAAUCUUCGGCAAUGGACGAAAGUAUGACCGAGCAACGCCGCGUGAGUGAAGAAGGUUUUCGGAUCGUAAAACUCUGUUGGUAGAGAAGAACGUUGGUGAGAGUGGAAAGCUCAUCAAGUGACGGUAACUACCCAGAAAGGGACGGCUAACUACGUG
rnacentral:rRNA from 1 species